rnacentral:misc_RNA from 1 species
GGAUGAAGAACGUAGCGAAAUGCGAUAAGUAAUGUGAAUUGCAGAAUUCAGUGAAUCAUCGAAUCUUUGAACGCACAUUGCGCCCCUUGGUAUUCCGAGGGGCAUGCCUGUUCGAGCGUCAUUACACCACUCAAGCUAUGCUUGGUAUUGGGUGUCGUCCUUAGUUGGGCGCGCCUUAAAGACCUCGGCGAGGCCUCCCCGGCUUUAGGCGUAGUAGAAUUUAUUCGAACGUCUGUCAAAGGAGAGGAACUCUGCCGACUGAAACCUUUAUUUUUACAGGUUGACCUCGGAUCAGGUAGGGAUACCCGCUGAACUUAAGCAUAUCAAUAAGCGGAGGA